rnacentral:rRNA from 1 species
UGGGGAAUUUUGGACAAUGGACGCAAGUCUGAUCCAGCCAUGCCGCGUGCGGGAGGAAGGCCUUCGGGUUGUAAACCGCUUUUGUCAGGGAAGAAACGAGUUUCUCUAAUACAGAGACUUAAUGACGAUACCUGAAGAAUAAGCACCGGCUAACUACGUGCCAGCAGCCGCGGUAAUACGAAGGGUGCGAGCGUUAAUCGGAAUUACUGGGAGUAAAGCGUGCGCAGGCGGUUAUGUAAGACAGAGGUGAAAUCCCCGGGCUCAACCUGGGAACUGCCGUUGUGACUGCAUGGCUAGAGUGCGGCAGAGGGGGAUGGAAUUCCGCGUGUAGCAGUGAAAUGCGUAGAUAUGCGGAGGAACACCGAUGGCGAAGGCAGUCCCCUGGGCCUGCACUGACGCUCAUGCACGAAAGCGUGGGGAGCAAACA